GACGAACGCUGGCGGCGUGCUUAACACAUGCAAGUCGAACGGAAAGGCCCUGCUUUUGUGGGGUGCUCGAGUGGCGAACGGGUGAGUAACACGUGAGUAACCUGCCCUUGACUUUGGGAUAACUUCAGGAAACUGGGGCUAAUACCGGAUAGGAGCUCCUGCUGCAUGGUGGGGGUUGGAAAGUUUCGGCGGUUGGGGAUGGACUCGCGGCUUAUCAGCUUGUUGGUGGGGUAGUGGCUUACCAAGGCUUUGACGGGUAGCCGGCCUGAGAGGGUGACCGGCCACAUUGGGACUGAGAUACGGCCCAGACUCCUACGGGAGGCAGCAGUGGGGAAUAUUGCCCAAUGGGCGGAAGCCUGAUGCAGCAACGCCGCGUGCGGGAUGACGGCCUUCGGGUUGUAAACCGCUUUCGCCUGUGACGAAGCGUGAGUGACGGUAAUGGGUAAAGAAGCACCGGCUAACUACGUG
rnacentral:rRNA from 1 species